GGUAUGAUGUUCUUUAACAGGUGGAAUAGUCUCAACAAGGAAAGCUUCAUUUCAAAUGCACAUGACCUAAUGCUAAAAGUAUCAUUCCAAAAUGAUGUCACUAAAACGCUUGAAAGAAGCACUAUUGAGAAGUCAAAAUUGCGCGAAACAGAGAGCGUUGAUUGGCUGAUUUGUUAUGAAACGAGUAAAUUAUGCAGUUCGCUUGAUCUCAUGGUGCGAGGACAUCGUAUAGCGUUCAUUUGAUUGACGAAAAGUUACAGAGAAACCGGAGAAAAAAACAUUAUCGAGGCGCCAUUCAAGUGCAACACAAACUUUUGUGAUGAUACAGCACCAUUUGCUAGCGUUGCUGGCGGCUUUCACACUGGUAUUUUCCAAAGUGGUCCAAGCAAAACACAACAUCACCGCAGCCUUGGUUGCGCUCGCGCCGAUACCCGAGGAAACAGAACUGUCAGUCGAUCCUGCCAAGAGCACGGCGACCUUGUUAACACUGAAUUGGCUUCUGGUUGCUAUGAUUACCAUUUUACCCAUAAUCCUCCUGCACAGAAGAUAACGACACAAGGGACGAGUGGUUGGGUUGAUUAGACAAAAAGUAAUUCUAAAGACAGAUUUCUUAAGAUAAUCAUCGCAUAUAUGAGGCAACUAUGGACAAGUUUGAAAAGUUUACAGGUGAUCAUACGUGUUUCAAUAUGCCGAUGACUUUUUCCCGGAUCGUGUCUAUAACGUGGGACGAAACUUAGCCGAUGGUACGACAGUUGUUCGAUGAAGAUACGAUAUGGCUUUAUUGGUUUAUAUCCACAGUGAUGGCAACCCCUAUUUGUGGAUUAAAAAUGUAGAUGUAGAUGGCUCGAUCACCGUCGGCGGCGGCGAUCACCGUCGGUUGUUUUAGAUUAUUUGUAAAUAAUUGCACUUAGUUUUUAUAGGUUUAUUUGAGAACUGUUAUAUCAAAAUAAGUGCAGACAAGAGACCAUGAUACAUCAUGGUCUCUUGGUGCAGAACCGUCGACGUGAACAACGUUAUAUGAUUUUUAGCGACGCACAUUUGCUUUUAUGACAGCGAUGUAAAAUGUGAAGACAAUAAAAAACAUAUCCGAA